rnacentral:lncRNA from 1 species
AUGCAUUUAAAUGGGAUUUCAGAGCCACAGGGAAAAGGAACAGGAUUCAGGGAGGAAGAAGGGCCCCUGCAGUCUGCACCCCAUCUCUGUUCCCCUGCCCCAGAGGCCUGUCCCUGUGCCCCACCGAGACCUCAAGGAGCUCCUCCGGGAAGACUUCCUCUCCACCAUGGCGCACCCAGAUGCUUCACCUCUCGCAAAACUGCAAGAUGUGUGCAGACCCGCAUGCUGGCAGUUCACUCUGCACACAGUUGCUCACACACGCCUGCACACAUGCAUGUGCACAGCCCUGGAAUGGUGCGUUGCAACACACUUGUCGCUCACAAAAGGAACAUGCACACACCCUGCACCUGCACACACUUCCUUACACACACGCCUGCCAGCACACAUGCCACAUGUGCACACAGAUGGAACACACUGUUCCCACACUCACACACCACUCACACCCACACACCUUCCACUCGCACUCACCACAAGCACACACGCAUACAUAUGUGCUGCAUGCUCAGCCACCCAUGUGUCCUCCAGCCCGUUCUCGAGAUGCAGCUGCUCACCUGCAGGACACACUACUUACUCUCUCCUAGAAGCUGGCCCUGGCUGCAGCUGUUCCUCCCCACUGCCAAACUGCCUGCCCACUAUGGCGAGGUGGAGGCCUGGGUUGGGGCCUGCUCCCAGGGUACAACCUCCGCUCAGGGGUCCUCAAGCCGGGAGACCAGCCAGUGUGGAGUCCAGGCUGCAUGCAGCCUCCUCCUCAGGUCCCCAUGCUGCUGCUGGGGGCUCCCACUGCUGCCCAUGCAUGUGUGUGCCUGUCCCCGGAGGGCACCUGGAGACCGCCUGGCUGGGCAGCCCUGCCCUCGGGGGCCCCUUCUGUGCAAAGCAGCCCUCCUCACUCUGGCCUUGACCUGCCCCAGGAUGUGCCUGGGGCUCAGUGCCGCAGGGCAGGGACAGAGGCCCAGGAGCUUUAGGAUAGGGAGCAUUGUUAAGGCCUGCAGGUGGCUUGGGGUGCGGAGCCCUAGAGUAGGGCAGGUGCAGUGGGGCCUGGAACCCAAGGGCUGA